rnacentral:rRNA from 1 species
CCUACGGGGUGCUGCAGUGAGGAAUAUUGGUCAAUGGACGAGAGUCUGAACCAGCCAAGUAGCGUGAAGGAUGACUGCCCUAUGGGUUGUAAACUUCUUGGAUAAAGGAAUAAAACGAGGCACGUGUGCCUUUUUGCAUGUACUUUAUGAAUAAGGAUCGGCUAACUCCGUGCCAGCAGCCGCGGUAAUACGGAGGAUCCGAGCGUUAUCCGGAUUGAUUGGGUUGAAAGGGAGCGUAGAUGGGUUGUUAAGUCAGUUGUGAAAGUUUGCGGCUCAACCGUAAAAUUGCAAUUGAUACUGGCAGUCUUGAGUACAGUUGAGGUAGGCGGAAUUCGUGGUGUAGCGGUGAAAUGCUUAGAUAUCACGAAGAACCCCGAUUGCGAAGGCAGCUUACUAAACUGUGACUGACAUUGAUGCUCGAAAGUGUGGGUAUCAAACAGGAUUAGAUACCCGUGUAGUC